GGAGAAGUGCAGGGAUUUUCUUUCAGUAACGGGUUUUGAAGGACUUCUCCAGUUAUCUGGGAAAAAUUAUCACAGGAUAUCAGAAAGAAAAACUCCUUGGAAGAAAGGUUCUGUGAACAAGAUUUGUCUGAAUGGUUCUCAGGGAGAAUUCUUACCAGAAAAUGACUCUGUCAAGUUCCUGGUAACCUGUUCUGUUGAACUAUGGAACCCUUUCACCAAAACAAGAGAGAUGAUAACUAGUCUCGUCCGGUAUUCUCCAAGCUCCCAGUAAGUACUAUCAAUAUUAUUCAGGUUCAAACCUGCAAGGUUUUCUUAGCAUGCCCAACUUCUGCUAAUUAUUGCUGACUCUGAAGAAAUUAUAUAAACUUGUGCUUCAUUUUUCCUAUUGGAAAAAGUCCAUUCAGAUCAUUUGGGCUUCUCAGCUGCAUAAAGAUACUGCAGGAGGAUGUGAUACUAGCAUGGGAGAUGGCAGUUUUCCACAGAUGACAGUGAAUUGUAUAGCAAGGUGAUGGAUACCAUCACAAGGACAAACCAGCAAGGAGAUAAAAGAUACAAGAGCAGCCAUGCAGCAAGAAAUAAAUUGAAUUUAUUGGAUUACUCUUUACAGAUGUGGAUCACCAUGCCGUGUUUGAAGCUAUAGGGCUUUGCAAAGAAUUUUGCUUGAAGAGACCAGCAAACACCAGAGACUGAGAAAAGAAGCAUCAUGAGGUUCUCUGUUUUUCCCAGGCUUAAUACCCGUAAGGGGAAUCAGAUACCAUGUGCAUGCUCCUUUGCCUGUGAACAAUUUCUUCCUCACAUGUCUUAGUUUGUUCCUUCAGGUGAUUGACUUGUGGAGUGAGUCAUAAGUAUAGAGGUGCUGAGAAUCCGGAAAUAAUCUACGGAAGGAAGAAAUAAGGUAAUUAUGCCUAUACUUUAGUCUUGUAAAUCUUUAACAUUUGGCAGUGAAAGGAGCUGAAGUGUAUCACUGAAGUCUACCAUAAUCAGGUACAUUAUUAUGCAUACCUGGAAUGCUUUGAGGGGCAAAUGAAAGUCAAGAAAUGAACUGGGGAGAUGCGACUCCAGAAUUUCUAUUAGCAAUGAUUAGCUUUAUAUUUUUGCUUGCAUUCCUCUUGCAUGUAUCUGUGUGAAAAUGGUAACGCUUACUAUGUCAAUCUUUAAUAAGAUUGCAACGUUUUCACAUACAUAGUUUUUUCAUAUUACUUAUGCCAUUGUCUCCAAUGAGAACGCUCAUGUAAAAAGAUGAAUGAAAGUAUUUGGUUAUCUGUCAACUUUUUGCUUAAUCUGUCUACUCUAAAUUCUACUGCUGUCUGCCUUUAAAAAUCAGCAUUUCUGCAGCCUUUCCAGUUUCUUGACCUUUGUUAGUUGCUUUUAGAUUCAGAUUUGGAAAACACCAUGUACAGUCCUGCUCUUUCACAUUUUCUUUUUCUUAUCAUAAAGACAAGAAUGGUGUCAAUA